UCUGUUUAACAGAUAACAAGGGUUUUUUUUCUUCACAAUUGAAAGUUUACUUUAGUCAUCUACUUCAGUGAUCUUCUGUAGCCCAUCAUUGCUAUUCAUGAGCUCACUGGUGUGUUGUUGCUCCUUAACAGUGUAUCAAACAGUUGACUUUGGCACACCCAAUGUUUUGGCUAUGUCUCUGUUUAUUUAUUCAGAUUGUGCAUCUCAUGAUGGCCUGCUUUACUGGCACUGACACUUAUUUGGUCAUCAUGUUGAGAGACAACAGCAACUGACCCCAACUGCAAAGUCCACACCUAGAAUCAAUUCUAUAACUUUUGUUUGCUUUCUUGUGCAUGAAACCGUGCAAUGGCACACUAGCUGAGCAAGAAACAGCUGACAGUAAUUGUCCAAUUACUUUUGGUGCAGGAGUAAAAAGGGCUGUAAUUCCUACACGGAUCGACAGACAUGGAAGAAAAUACCCUCAAAUGAAAGCUGACAAUCUGCUCUUUAUCCUUCCUCACAUUCAUUGGUUUAUUUCAAAUCCAAAGUGCUGGAGUACAAGCAACCCAACAAAACUAGUGUCACUGUCCAAAUACUUAAAAACUGCACUUGAUACGCUGAUACAUAAUCAAAGCUAUGGAUUGUGCAAUGCCAGUGUGUAAAGCAUGGUGUAGCAUGGAGUCAGGAAAAGAGGGUGUUGCAUGUCACGUAAAAACAAAAGAACAAACAACAGAAGGCAAAAGUGUAUGUGAGAACAGUAAACUUGAGUACAGGACAGAGGAGGAGCCUUAACAGCAGCUCUCAGUCCUCUUCAGCUGCGAGCACAAAUUAGGAACAGCAGGAAGUAACACUUGCGUGGUUGAUGACACGUACCGAGAGUUGCCGGUCCGACUGGUUGUCUUCUUCCUUCUCCUGGCCAUCCCCCCGAUUAUUGGAACCAUCUUUUACAUAAGGAGGAGGAAACAAGCACAGACAGACCAAAUGCCCU